AUCAUGACCUGAGCUGAAGGAGGAUGCUUAACCGACUGAGCCACCCAGAUUUGGCUCUGGUCCUGAGUCCACUUUGAAAAUCCGGGGGCAGGAGCUCAUUUUAAAGGAUCAAGAUUACCACCCAUUAAAAACAAAGCGCUGCGAUGCUGCCUUGAGUACAGCAAUGAUGAGGGUGAAGCAUAUUUAAUUCAAAUUUCAACUAGGUUUGAAGAAGCAACGAGUGAAUAUUGGUCAAGAGAGGGCAAUGCAGCAUCUCUCCUGUGGAAGAAAGAACCAGAGAUGGAUAUCUUCCAGCUCCAAACAGAGACAGUGAGCAGAUUUGCAGUUAUAAAGUGUGGUGGUGGGUGAAGAUAAUUGAAGCCUUGAGAUUUGUGCUCAUCAGACCCUUAUUGCUUCUGCCUCAUUUCCUGCUUGACCAUGAAGGACUAAGGAUCCAGAGAGCCCCCAAACUGUGCCAUGGUUGUCAUAAGCCACCCAUUAAAAAAAAUGGUUUUUUUAAAAAGGAUUCUUUUUAGUUAAAUUAUCAAGGAAAACACUGUGCUGAGGAUGAGCAACCUCUCAAUACUAAAUAUUUACAUGGAUCCUGCGUAAGGCAAUAUUUAGUGGGGAAAAAAAAACAAGUGGGGAGCGAACACGAGGGUAAUUUCUGAAACAGCGUUAUUUCCGACGUACUCCGACAAUGAGGUACUUAAUGAAACUUCUCCAACUUCUGAUUUAAAUUCUUUGUAAGAAAGUUAACACCUUCAGAAGCUGUCUGUUAAAAAUAGACAAAAAUAAUUCUGCAGCUACAGCAUCACUUCCUGGAUCUGAUUUGUAAAUCUCAUGACAGCUAUUUCUUUGUUGUUGUUUCCUGACAAUAGUGCUUGUCAGAGCCUUGAGGUGCCUAAGUCCUAAAUCAUGAAAUUCUGAGGCAGUCCCUCCUAUUAGCACUGUGCUGAGUUAACAUUAAAUGAGUACCUAAC